rnacentral:lncRNA from 1 species
AUACGGUACAAUAAGAGUGCACUGCCAAUAAUAUUGAGAUACAUAGCGUAUUUAGAUGGGACAGAUAUUUAAUGCUGUACAGAAAAAAAAAGUAUGUCCCAUCUAAAUGCACUACGCGCCCCAAUUUUAUUAGGUGGUGUGCUCCUAUUAUACCGCUUGCAGUGCAUAAAAAAUUAUUCUUGAAAACAUCAAUUCAUAGGCAUAUAAUCAGAAUCAGAAAUACGCCCAUGUAGGCCCA